rnacentral:rRNA from 1 species
CCUACGGGAGGCAGCAGUGGGGAAUAUUGCACAAUGGGCGCAAGCCUGAUGCAGCGACGCCGCGUGAGGGAUGACGGCCUUCGGGUUGUAAACCUCUUUCAGUAGGGAAGAAGCGAAAGUGACGGUACCUGCAGAAGAAGCGCCGGCUAACUACGUGCCAGCAGCCGCGGUAAUACGUAGGGCGCAAGCGUUAUCCGGAAUUAUUGGGCGUAAAGAGCUCGUAGGCGGUUUGUCGCGUCUGCCGUGAAAGUCCGGGGCUCAACUCCGGAUCUGCGGUGGGUACGGGCAGACUAGAGUGAUGUAGGGGAGACUGGAAUUCCUGGUGUAGCGGUGAAAUGCGCAGAUAUCAGGAGGAACACCGAUGGCGAAGGCAGGUCUCUGGGCAUUAACUGACGCUGAGGAGCGAAAGCAUGGGGAGCGAACAGGAUUAGAUACCCUGGUAGUCCAUGCCGUAAACGUUGGGCACUAGGUGUGGGGGACAUUCCACGUUUUCCGCGCCGUAGCUAACGCAUUAAGUGCCCCGCCUGGGGAGUACGGCCGCAAGGCAAAACUCAAAGANAGUGACGNGNGAGAGCGACGAGACGACGAGAGGAG